CAUGUUGGUCUGGCUCAGAGAACGACUACUGUUGUCUAAUGUCCUCCUUCAUGCUGGUCUGGCUCAGAGAGUGUUGUCUAAUGUCCUCCUUCAUGUUGGUCUGGCUCAGAGAGUGUUGUCUAAUGUCCUCCUCCAUGUUGGUCUGGCUCAGAGAGUGUUGUCUAAUGUCCUCCUUCAUGUUGGUCUGGCUCAGAGAGUGUUGUCUAAUGUCCUCCUCCAUGCUGGUCUGGCUCAGAGAGUGUUGUCUAAUGUCCUCCUCCAUGUUGGUCUGGCUCAGAGAAAGACUACUGUUGUCUAAUGUCCUCCUCCAUGUUGGUCUGGCUCAGAGAGUGUUGUCUAAUGUCCUCCUUCAUGUUGGUCUGGCUCAGAGAACGACUACUGUUGUCUAAUGUCCUCCUUCAUGUUGGUCUGGCUCAGAGAGUGUUGUCUAAUGUCCUCCUCCAUGUUGGUCUGGCUCAGAGAGUGUUGUCUAAUGUCCUCCUUCAUGUUGGUCUGGCUCAGAGAGUGUUGUCUAAUGUCCUCCUUCAUGUUGGUCUGGCUCAGAGAGUGUUGUCUAAUGUCCUCCUUCAUGUUGGUCUGGCUCAGAGAGUGUUGUCUAAUGUCAUCCUUCAUGUUGGUCUGGCUCAGAGAAUGACUACUGUUGUCUAAUGUCCUCCUUCAUGUUGGUCUGGCUCAGAGAGUGUUGUCUAAUGUCCUCCUUCAUGCUGGUCUGGCUCAGAGAGUGUUGUCUAAUGUCCUCCUUCAUGUUGGUCUGGCUCAGAGAGUGUUGUCUAAUGUCCUCCUUCAUGUUGGUCUGGCUCAGAGAACGACUACUGUUGUCUAAUGUCCUCCUUCAUGUUGGUCUGGCUCAGAGAGUGUUGUCUAAUGUCCUCCUUCAUGUUGGUCUGGCUCAGAGAGUGUUGUCUAAUGUCCUCCUUCAUGUUGGUCUGGCUCAGAGAGUGUUGUCUAAUGUCCUCCUUCAUGUUGGUCUGGCUCAGAGAACGACUACUGUUGUCUAAUGUCCUCCUUCAUGUUGGUCUGGCUCAGAGAGUGUUGUCUAAUGUCCUCCUUCAUGUUGGUCUGGCUCAGAGAGUGUUGUCUAAUGUCCUCCUUCAUGUUGGUCUGGCUCAGAGAGUGUUGUCUAAUGUCCUCCUCCAUGCUGGUCUGGCUCAGAGAGUGUUGUCUAAUGUCCUCCUUCAUGUUGGUCUGGCUCAGAGAGUGUUGUCUAAUGUCCUCCUCCAUGUUGGUCUGGCUCAGAGAGUGUUGUCUAAUGUCCUCCUUCAUGUUGGUCUGGCUCAGAGAACGACUACUGUUGUCUAAUGUCCUCCUUCAUGUUGGUCUGGCUCAGAGAGUGUUGUCUAAUGUCCUCCUUCAUGUUGGUCUGGCUCAGAGAGUGUUGUCUAAUGUCCUCCUUCAUGUUGGUCUGGC